UGGCGGACGGGUGAGUAACGCGUGGGGAACCUGCCCUGUACCGGGGGAUAGCAGCCGGAAACGGCUGAUAAUACCGCAUAAGCGCACGAAUGUCGCAUGACAUGGUGGUGAAAAACUCCGGUGGUAUAGGAUGGACCCGCGUCUGAUUAGCCUGUUGGUGGGGUAAAAGCCUACCAAAGCGAAGAUCAGUAGCCGAGUUGAGAGACUGACCGGCCACAUUGGGACUGAGACACGGCCCAGACUCCUACGGGAGGCAGCAGUA
rnacentral:rRNA from 1 species